rnacentral:rRNA from 1 species
GGUGAAAUUCUUAGAUUGGCGUUACGGCGAACUACUGCGAAAGUCUUUGGCCAAGAUGUUUUUAUUGAUCAAGAACGAAAGUAUGGGGAUCGAAGAUGAUUAGAUACC